rnacentral:lncRNA from 1 species
UAGGCUUCCCACUUGGCAGGGGCCGUCUUGUCCACUCGUUUCUGUAAACAUGGGUGGCAAAAAGAGAAGAUGGAGCUGCCAUUUAGAACAUGCCUAAUCCCAGCUUCAUCUUGCUGAGCAAAAAUGAAGGAGCCUGGACCCAACUUUGUUACUGUGAGAAAGGGUCUUCAUUCAUUCAAGAUGGCAUUUGUUAAGCACCUACUACAAACCUUGGAAAUCAAGAAAGUUCUGGAAUGAUGAAGCUGUUCAUGCCAAGACCGAAAGUGCUGGCCCAGUAUGAGUCCAUUCAGUUCAUGCCGUGACAAUUUUCUUGGAACUCCUUUUUAUUGCUUGUGCUCCUGGUACAUCAGCCCAUUUCAUGGUACGUUGAAGCAUGCCUCCCUGUGGGAUUGCUGGAUUCCCAGCCCAGUGAGGUAAUGACCAAGCAGCGUCUUCAGAGGAAGGAUAGCUGUACAGCGUGGUGAAGGACUCAAUGAGAAGGUGCAUUGCCCAUCCUUCAGAGAGCUCUGUGUGAAUCCAUAAAAGGUGCUUAAAGCUUUUCACUCCAUGAAGCCUCAUCUGUCUCAUGAAAGCAAUAAAUGUAAAUCAGGGAUUUCUUCUUGGUUUGGAUGCAUUGCUGGGAUGUGGCUUCCUGAGGGCCAAGCUGUAGUGAUUGUUAUCUCUCUUCUGGAUCUAGCCACCCAGCAAGUCUACCAGGCUCCGGAUUGGUACUGGGGAUUGUCUGCACAGAAUCCUGUGAUGUGAACAAUCUGUGGGUCUCUCAGUCAUGGAUACUAGCACCUGCUCCACAGUGGAGGUAGCAGAGGGGUGAAAUGGACUCUGUGAAGG